rnacentral:ncRNA from 1 species
AGUAGUUCUUCCAAGGAAAACUUGGAAGGCCAAAGUGGAGGAGGGUUCCAUGAGAACAGCAGUUGAACAUGGGUCAGUCGGUCCCGAGAGAUGGGCGAGGACCGUUCCGAGGGGACCUGCAAUGGCCUCCGUUGCCCUCAGCCGAUCAAAGGGAGUCGGGAUCAGAUCCCCAAAUCCCGAGUGGCGGAGACGGGCGAUGUGAGGCGUCCAGUGCGGUAAGGCGACCCACCCCAAAGAAGCCGGCGGAGGCCCCAGGGAGAGCUCCCUUUUUUGUGUGUAGGGCAGGGCGCCAAGGAAUGGGUUCGCCCCCAGAGAGGGGCCAGUGCCUUGGAAAGCGUGGUGGUUCCGGCGAGGUCUGGUGAGCGCCCGCUGGCCCUUGGACAAAAAAAUCCCAGGGAGAGUGUGUAAAUCUCGCGCCG